AUUAGCUAGAUGGUAAGGUAACGGCUUACCAUGGCUACGAUGUCUAGGGGUUCUGAGAGGAAGAUCCCCCACACUGGAACUGAGACACGGUCCAGACUCCUACGGGAGGCAGCAGUGAGGAAUAUUGGACAAUGGAUGGAAAUCUGAUCCAGCCAUGCCGCGUGCAGGAAGACGGCCCUAUGGGUUGUAAACUGCUUUUAUACGGGAGCAAUAAGGCCUACGUGUAGGCUGAUGAGAGUACCGUACGAAUAAGGACCGGCUAACUCCGUGCCAGCAGCCGCGGUAAUACGGAGGGUCCGAGCGUUAUCCGGAUUUAUUGGGUUUAAAGGGUGCGUAGGCGGUUUUAUAAGUCAGCGGUGAAAGUUUUCAGCUUAACUGGAAAAAUGCCGUUGAUACUGUAGAGCUAGAAUAUGGUUGCUGUGGGUGGAAUGUGUGGUGUAGCGGUGAAAUGCUUAGAGAUCACACAGAAUAUCGAUUGCGAAGGCAGCUCACAAAGCCAUUAUUGACGCUGAGGCACGAAAGUGUGGGGAUCAAACAGGAUUAGAUACCCUGGUAGUCCACACUGUAAAC
rnacentral:rRNA from 1 species